UACAGAGGGUGCAAGCGUUGUUCGGAAUUACUGGGCGUAAAGAGUGUGUAGGCGGUGUUCCCAGUCUGUUGUGAAAUCUCCCGGCUUAACUGGGAGGGUGCAGCGGAAACUAGAAUGCUAGAGGGUGGGAGAGGUAAGCGGAAUUCCUGGUGUAGCGGUGAAAUGCGUAGAUAUCAGGAGGAACACCUGUGGUGUAGACAGCUUACUGGACCACUUCUGACGCUGAGACACGAAAGCGUGGGUAGCAAACAGG
rnacentral:rRNA from 1 species